AUGUGUCACACGGGACUGCCGGUUUUAAGCCGGAGGAAGGUGGGGAUGACGUCAAGUCAGCAUGGCCUUUAUAUCCUGGGCUACACACACGCUACAAUGGUCGGUACAAUAGGUUGCCAAGCCGCGAGGCGGAGCCAAUCCAAAAAAGCCGGCCUCAGUUCAGAUUGUAGGCUGCAACUCGCCUGCAUGAAGAUGGAGUUGCUAGUAACCGCAGGUCAGCAAUACUGCGGUGAAUACGUUCCCGGGUCUU
rnacentral:rRNA from 1 species